rnacentral:snRNA from 1 species
GUGCUUGCUUCAGCAGCACAUACACUAAAAUUGGAACGAUACAGAGAUUAGCAUGGCCCCUGUGCAAGGAUGACACGCAAAUUCCUGAAAUGUUCCGUGUGUGU